GGAGGUAAAACUUAGCUAUUACCCAGCAAGCGAUAGCCGUCAUUUCACCGUCUAAGUUUACUAUAGACCUGAUUUAGUACGGCUAUGAGUAACCCACUUCUAGCUGCAAUAACUUUACAUGUGGUUACAUGCCGUUUUUGCCAAAAUAACUUAAAAUGUGUAUGAUAUUCCAUCAUUUAAGCAAGGUCUACAGUGAUUACAAGGUUUUUUUGUUUCAUUUCAUACAUUUAUGUGCAGCCUGUGCGUAGACACGAUUUAGCUCGUAGACAGACCGGCUAUUUGUAGCCCACUUUAAGUCAAAAAAGUAACAAAUGAUUAAAAGUGGGUCUUUGCCCUGGUAGCAUGUGUUUCAGACCAAAUAGGUUACAUGUAGUUUUCACCCAUGGCAUUUCAUCAAAUGCAAGUAAACGUUUGAAACAUUUAAAUUAUCUUUAUUUUCGCUGUAACGUUCCUUGCAUUAACUUUAAUUUUCAUUUUAAACUAAAUGCAAUUACUAUUUUCAACCGCUAGAUGGCAGCUGUAGCCCUACUGACACAUGACUACUAGCAACGCGAGACUUGAAAGAUAGACAUCAGGGACGGCCAUAUCUCGCGAUAAAGACAUCCGCCUUUUUUAAACGAGGGAUACGUUACGAUUUCGGCCCUUCAGCGAGGAACGGGCUAGAGUUUACUGCAAACACUGGAAGCGAAAAGACAUUUACUUUGGUCUUUUAUGCAUCCCAUUUACCUGGGAGACUGGCGCCAACUGAGAGACCCAUCUGAUGCUCUUCCUGCAUCAAGUAGCAGCGUAGAUGAAGAUCUAGAUUUGGAUGUAGCCAACCAAUUUAUUUUAUCAUUAUUUGUGUUUUUAUUACCGUAUGUUGUUAAAAUUGUUUGUAUUUUCAUAUAUAUGAACUGUUUUGUAUUUAUAAUAUUUUAGCAAUAAUUCCUUUAUAUUUUCAUCAUGCUGUAUUAUCUUAAGUUGUCUAUAUUGUAAUCCAUUUUCUUAAUAAAAUCUUUAUAUUUAA